rnacentral:lncRNA from 1 species
UAGCCUUAGGGACUGCUGCGACCUGCGCCCCACCCGCUGCUCCCGUCCUCCCCUGCCCUAGCCCCGAGGGGCCUCGGCCGAUCAGCCCCCCUGUCCUGAUCACCCGCGGACACCUGCUCUCUCGCCUUCUGCCCCCUGCCCUCGGUCAAGGCGCUCACCCAAUCCACUUACCACGUCCCCACCCCGCUGACCCCAGCUUCUUCGCGCUCCCCUAUGCACACUGCCCACUUCCCCUCCCUCCGCAAGGUCCGGGGCAGCCCUUCCCAGCACCCUGGACCCACGCAGGGCCCCGAUGCCUUGGUUGGGCACCAGCCCUGCCCCGAUGGCCGCGUCCUCCCGCUCCCCAGCCCAGCGCGUCCGAACCCGCCCGCCGUCCGCUGCUCUGUUGUCCCCUGAGCCGACGCCGGCUGACCCAGCCCUGCCCGGGCGACAGGUGGCUCCCGGAGUUGGGGUGCGGGGGAGCGAGGGGUUGUCCAGAGCUGGCCGAAGAGGGUAGGCACGGGGGCGUGGUAGCGAGGGAACCGCGAGCCCCGAGGGUGCGUGCGCGGCUCCGGUGCCUCAGCGCCUGCGUUGCAGCCCGCGGAAGCCCAGGAGCAUGGGGAGCUGCUUCUGGACUGAGCCGAGCUGGGGCUGGGGGCUGCCCACGGGUCCUCCCUGGAACGCGAGGCCCAGGGCCCCUCCCUCAGCUCCCUCCACCCCCCACCCCCAACCACCACCGCCCGACCUUGUCCGACAGGUGUCCCUCUCCGGAAUUCUUCAGGCAAGCCUGA